rnacentral:tRNA from 1 species
GCAGUCGUGGCCGAGUGGUUAUGGCGAUGGACUAGAAAUCCAUUGGGGUCUCCCCGCACAGGUUCGAAUCCUGUCGGCUGCG